rnacentral:rRNA from 1 species
GUGCAGCAGUCGCGAAACCUCCGCAAUGCGGGAAACCGUGACGGGGUCACCCCGAGUGCCACCCGAUGAGGGUGGCUUUUCCCCGGUCUAAAAAGCCGGGGGCAAUAAGCGGGGGCAAGUCUGGUGUCAGCCGCCGCGGUAAUACCAGCCCCGCGAGUGGUCGGGACGUUUAUUGGGCCUAAAGCGUCCGUAGCCGGCUCGGUAAGUCCCUCCUUAAAUCCACGGGCUCAACCCGUGGGCUGGGAGGGAUACUGCCGGGCUAGGGGGCGGGAGAGGCCGAGGGUACUCCCGGGGUAGGGGCGAAAUCCGUUAAUCCCGGGAGGACCACCAGUGGCGAAGGCGCUCGGCUGGAACGCGCCCGACGGUGAGGGACGAAAGCUGGGGGAGCAAAAGGGGAUUAGAUACCCGGGUAGU